AGCAGCCACCUUUUUAAAAGCGUUAAAGCUUAGCCUUAAUUCCUCAAAGAUACCAUAAAACUCAAUGAACCCUUAAUUCAUAAUGAAUGACUCCAUAUAAAUAUGGAAGACACCAUGCUGGGAUCAGUAACAAGAAUUAAUAAUUCUCCUAAAUGUAAAUAUAAACCAACACGGAUAAGCCACUGGUAAUUACCGCACUUGAACCCACUGCAACAACACCCACAAGAAAACCCUGCAGUAUUCACUCGUUAACCUAACACUAGAGCAUUUAAGGAAAGAUUAAAAGAAAGAGAAGGAAUUCGGCAAAUAACGACCCCGCCUGUUUACCAAAAACAUCGCCUCUUGAUUUAUGAUAAGAGGUCCAGCCUGCCCAGUGAAUUUUUAACGGCCGCGGUAUUCUGACCACGCGAAGGUAGCAUAAUCACUUGUUCUUUAAAUGGGGACUUGUAUCAACGGCAUCACGAGGGUUUUACUGUCUCCUCUUUCUAAUCAGUGAAAUUGAUCUUCCCGUGAAGAAGCGGGAAUUCCUAUAUAAGACGAGAAGACCCCAUGGAGCUUCAAACCAAAUAGCAACUUAACCACAUACCCCCUAAUAAUUUUAAGCUCGUGCCAUCAGGUUUUUGGUUGGGGUGACCGCGGAGUAAAACAUAUCCUCCACGACGAAAAGACCACAAUCUUUAUUUAAGGGCGACAGCUCUAAAAAUUAGCACACUAACGUUUACUGACCCGACAUUCGAUCAACGGAACAAGUUACCCUGGGGAUAACAGCGCAAUCUACUUUGAGAGCUCAUAUCGACAAGUAGGCUUACGACCUCGAUGUUGGAUCAGGGUAUCCUAGUGGUGCAGCCGCUACUAAGGGUUCGUUUGUUCAACGAUUAAAACCCUACGUGAUCU
rnacentral:rRNA from 2 species